rnacentral:rRNA from 2 species
AGCGGGACGGAUGGGAGCUUGCUCCCUGAAGUCAGCGGCGGACGGGUGAGUAACACGUGGGCAACCUGCCUGUAAGACUGGGAUAACUUCGGGAAACCGGAGCUAAUACCGGAUAAUGCAUAACCUCUCAUGAGGUUAUGCUGAAAGAUGGUUUCGGCUAUCACUUACAGAUGGGCCCGCGGCGCAUUAGCUAGUUGGUGAGGUAACGGCUCACCAAGGCAACGAUGCGUAACCGACCUGAGAGGGUGAUCGGCCACAAUGGGACUGAAACACGGCCCAUACUCCAACGGGAGGCAUGAAUAGGGAAUCUUCCGGAAUGGAAAAAAGUUUGACGGAUCACCGCCGCUUGAGA